GCAUAGCUAAUAGUGUGUCCUACGCCGGGACGGGAUUUGCGGAGUGCUGGGUGCUCCCCAAGUCAGUGUGGGGGCAAUUUCUCAUGGUCUUAAAAAAAGUAUCACAGGCCACCAAAUGGUCCAGGAUGCAGCACGCGGUAGGGGACGGCACCCCGUGCACUUUGGACUCCUGCUGUGCUCCACACUCGGUCUCCCAGGGCCACCACCUCAAUGCCACCUUCCCACUUUCAAAAGCCUGAGGAGGAGGGGAGCAGGGCCAGGGCCGGAGUACCUUGGAAGGACCCAAGAUGACCGAGGCCACUUUUCUCCCUUAGCCAUUCUGGCUCGCCUGCGCCCUCUACCUGCCGCGCAGAUUAAAACGAAUGUUCUCUUGGUAAGAACUGCAGCAAACUCCGGCGUACAUCAGAUCCACGGAAACCCCGUUUUCCAGGCUCGCCAACUUUUCUUCAGAACAGGGGAAAGGAAAUCUGAAGAGGAUUAAAAAAAAAAAAGCCUACCAAAU